rnacentral:misc_RNA from 1 species
UUAACUUAUUUGUAUAUUACUCGGACAACAUAAAAAUCAAGAGUUUAGGGUCCUCUGGCAGGCGCGGACCAGCCUAGGCCAGUGGUCAUAAGACGGGCCUGCCAAAGCAACAAAGGUAAUAUAGACAAAGGGUGGGAGAUCUACCCCGGAGGGCAAUUUCUCUGUAAUGAUCCUUCCGCAGGUUCACCUACGGAAA